rnacentral:rRNA from 1 species
UUAAGCAUAUAAGUAGGCGGUGGAAAAUGAACCAAAUGGGAUUCCUUAAGUAAUUGCGAAUGAACAAGGAACUGCUCAGCUUGAAAAUUGGGGCCUUCGGCCUUGAAUUGUAAUUUUGAAAUGUAUUGCCAAUGGAGGCGCAGGUGCAAGCCUAUUGAAAGAAAGCGUCAAUGAGGGUGAGAUUCCUUUUUGUCAUUUGCAGUCCUCCGUGCACGGUAUAUAUUUGACGAGUCACACUCCUUGGCAUUGGAAUGCAAAGUGGGUGGUAAAUUCCAUGUAAAGGAAAAUAUAUUAUUGAGACUGAUAGCAAACAAGUACCAUGAGGGAAAUAUGAAAAGGACUUUGAAAAGAGAAUUAAAAGAGUCUGCAUUUGCUGAACAGAAAGCAAACAGAAUUGAUCUACUUGGUUAGAUUGUUGCGUCCACUUGUGGGCGCAAUGGUUCUUGCCUUGAAUGUCAGCGUCUAUUUCUGCAAAUUAUUACCCUUGCAUAUGAAUGGUAAUUUGCCUGUGGGCAUUGGAAUGCAUGUGUUUGCAAUGAUUUGUGAUUUGAUACAUGUGUUUGGUGUUCGUGUGUGUUCCUUCUUGCCAACAAGGGGAGGGCUCUCCUCCCUGGGCACUGCAAGCCCUUGCACAUUGUUGUGGCAAAAUGUUUCUGCUUGACCCGUCUUGAAACACGGGGACCAAGGA